CGUGCAGCGCCUGGCCAGGUGGGUGGAGCACGCGCUGCCCUUCUCCCUGCUCCUGCUUGGCAUCUUCAUCCGCCAACACCUGUAACUCUCAGGCUACAUGGUUGGGGAAGCGAUGCUGCCGGUGUCAUGCCGGGCUCUGGUUUCGGUCGACGCCAACGAUUGUGAUGCCUCACCGUGGCUGCAGGUUGAAGCGUCGUGCUAGAUGUAUUUAAUUUUUGUUUUUUGAUAACGUUCAUAACCAUGGCAUUCUUACCAUGAUGCAGCAAAGCGCAUCUAGCUAGGUGUACCUAAUACAAUAAGUUUGCUCUCCACUUCAGAAUUCAAAGGAGCUCAACAUUUGUUUUAUAGUGCAAACAAAUUACUGAUCUAUUACAAAUUGGUAUUGUCUUGAUCUAUUACAAAUUGAUAUUGUCUUCUUCAGGUCUUUAUUUUGCAGUUCUCUUCUCAAAUACCCUCUCUGUUGCCAUGAAAUAUCAGCAACACAAAUUAGUGACCUUGCCAGGUAAUCAUGAUGAUUAAGAACGAAAAUGGUACCCAGGAGUAUGUAGUGUAGUAAUAUUCAGAAAAAUGUAUGUUUCUAUCUCUUUCAAGUCCGUGCUAGCUAUUUCUUUAAACGGCAUUCGGACAAUAUGUGCAGAAGGAUGAUGCCCAUACGGACUAAAUUUCUCUUUUGUAGGUUAAAAAGAGGUCUUAUGUGGGAUACAAACCAAAGCUUGCUUGCAUACACUCUGGUGCUCCAGUGGAUUUGCAAGCUGAAGUUCGUGCACAUAGAACUGUUAAAAAAGUUCAUGUCUUCCAUUUUUGCGCCGAGGUUUUUAAUUGAUAUUUAUGGAAGAGUAGAAAUAUCUUUUAUUUGUGUGAUACAGAAAAUGUUCCAUCGCAGUAUACAAUUGAGCAAAAAGUAAUCGAGAGAGCAUAUAUAAGAAGCUUGCCUUGGAUGCUUUGGUCAUAUAGCAGGAUUUUGAUAGGCAGAACAGAAAAAUUGCUUUUGUUUCUUCUCACUACAUGUAAUGUAAUUAUUUUUCAUGUUAAAUGUUAAAAGUGGAACAAGUAGUAAUGUGA